GGAUGAGCGCUGGCGGCGUGCCUACUACAUGCAAGUCGAGCGAACGGACGAGAAGCUUGCUUCUCUGAUGUUAGCGGCGGACGGGUGAGUAACACGUGGAUAACCUACCUAUAAGACUGGGAUAACUUCGGGAAACCGGAGCUAAUACCGGAUAAUAUUUUGAACCGCAUGGUUCAAAAGUGAAAGACGGUCUUGCUGUCACUUAUAGAUGGAUCCGCGCUGCAUUAGCUAGUUGGUAAGGUAACGGCUUACCAAGGCAACGAUGCAUAGCCGACCUGAGAGGGUGAUCGGCCACACUGGAACUGAGACACGGUCCAGACUCCUACGGGAGGCAGCAGUAGGGAAUCUUCCGCAAUGGGCGAAAGCCUGACGGAGCAACGCCGCGUGAGUGAUGAAGGUCUUCGGAUCGUAAAACUCUGUUAUUAGGGAAGAACAUAUGUGUAAGUAACUGUGCACAUCUUGACGGUACCUAAUCAGAAAGCCACGGCUAACUACGUG
rnacentral:rRNA from 1 species